GCCAGGGUAGCUCAGUGGUAGAGCACCACAUUCAUAACGUGGCGGCCGAGAGUUCGAUCCUCUCCCCUGGCA
rfam:Candidatus Gottesmanbacteria bacterium RBG_16_38_7b RBG_16_scaffold_8788, whole genome shotgun sequence.